rnacentral:rRNA from 1 species
CAUGCAGGCGGUUCAUCAAGUAGGAUGUGAAAUCCCCGGGCUCAACCUGGGAACAGCAUACUAAACUGGUGGACUAGAGUAUUGCAGGGGGAGACGGAAUUCCAGGUGUAGCGGUGGAAUGCGUAGAUAUCUGGAAGAACACCAAAGGCGAAGGCAGUCUCCUGGGCAAAUACUGACGCUCAUAUGCGAAAGCGUGGGUAGCAAAC